GCCCGCGUUGUCUAAUGGUUAUGACGUCAGACUUCUACGAGUGUCGGUCUUGUAUCUGGAGGUUGCGGGUUCGAGUCCCGCCGUGGGUU
rnacentral:tRNA from 1 species